GGUAAAUUUUACAUAAUGUGUAUUUUGCCACAAUUUUUAAAAAAUAUGUUACUUUAGAUGAGACUUCCCAGAAGAGGUGGCAUUGAGCUGGGCCUGAAAGGGCAGAUGAAUUUCAACAUGUAAAGAAGAGGAAGAAGGAUAUUAAAGACAGAGGGAAGAACAUGAAAUGUCCACAGGCAGUGAAGUACCCAUAGGGCAUGAGUGCAACUUUGCAGUAACCAGUCAACUCCAUUGCUUUGGUAAGCAUUGUUCCCUCUAUAUUUUUCAAAUUCCUCCAUCAUCACACCUGCCACAGCAUUCCCUUCCGCCAUGACAUUUCCCAGGUCACUGCCAGUGAAAUCAUUAGCAAUUGAGCACCACAUUGUGCCAGAGACUAUCCAUGCCCCACCUCCAAACCAAGAUGGUUUCCUCUUUCAUAUGCUGAGUGGUGGGUGAUCCACUCGCACAUCCCCAUCUUGCCUCCUGUUUUCUCAGACCACUCUCAAUACCACUUGUGUUAGUACAGGUCCCUUGAGAAGCAAACACCAAGAAGAGAUUAAGCGUGCAAGGAUUUUAUUAGGAGAAAUGCCUAUGGGAGAGCAAAUGGAGAGGAAGUCCAAAAGACUGGAGAGCCAUUUAAGACCAUGAGCCAAGUCUGACCCCCGAAGUGAAAGUGAGAGGGAGGGAGGCAGGGAGGUUGGAUGGAAGCAUCCUAGACUGUCAUGAAGUCUAACAAAGUUUGGCAAGGCCCUCAUGGAGUGCUAGAGCCAAAGUCAACUGUCAGAGAAGCCCUAGUAUCCUUGCACACACAGUUAUUGGCCAGUAGCUCCCAGUGGGGAGCAUGGACUCAAUACAAAUCCUGCUAUGGAUUUCAGAACGAAGCAGUGGGGGCCCUUGGUCGAUUACAAACCAUGUAGUUAGAGGUCUACAAGGUGCAGUCACCGCUCUACAGUGCUCCAGGCCUUCUCUGUCUCUGGCUGGGCAGAAGGAAAAAAAUGUUACAUUCAACAAAAAAAUAAGCACAGAAUGUUUUUUAAUCCUUGAGUAUUGAUAUAAAUAUCCACCUUUGCCAAAAGAUCAUGGAAAUAAACUUCCUUAUCACUGCAUUGUCUCCGCCAUAUUGGCAGGUAUUCAUUAUUUUCUCCUACAGGUCAAAUAUAAUACUGCCUUUGAUGGCAGUCAAUGAGGCUAAGGAUGCUGAAGGCCAUCUUUACAUUUUGUUCCACAUCUCUUCGAUAAUUGUCUUCUGGGAAGCUCACCGCCAAGAAGUAUUCAUAAUGAUUUGCCAUUGCUGUGGUAUCAUUUUGAUAAGGUUCAUGAUGCUGGGCUAAUCUCUAUGCCUGAAAGUUAAUGGUCAAUGAAGGUGCAUGCCCACGCCACCUCUGGAUGGAAGGGAGCGAGCAGAUGGGAUUCUGUUCCUUUACACAGAAGGGAGAAACUCAAGUCCAUGGUGUCAGAGCAGCCACUGUGCUGGGAUGAGCUAUUGCAGCUCUUGGUGCCUCCAACUGCCAAAGGCGUGCCACAGGUCCAGUUACAAGUCAGUCUUGUGCCAAUGGCUUCUUUCAUCUGCAUUCAGAAGGAAGGGAUUCAUUUGACUUUCCAAGACCCUGAACCAGCUUUCUGAGCUCUAGGAAACCAGCACCAUUCCUGUCACAGGCUGAAGAAGAAAGAGACCAAUAAGCUACACCAGUGGUUCCCAGAUCUGUCUGCACAUCUUACCCAGAUCUCACCUCCAGUGCAUUAAAUCCAAGGAAAACCCAGAGCAUGAGCGUUUUCUAAAAGUUUAUAGUAAACCCACACAUUGGAAUACUAUACAACCAUUAAAAAAGACUGAGGAAGUUGUUUACAGACUGAUAAGGAAAAAUCUCCAAGACAGAGUGUUGUAUGAAUGAAACUGGUAUAAAUUAGCAUGCGACCAUUUGUGUAGGGGAUGAUAAUAUGUAUGUGUCUUAUCUCAUGCAUGCAUAAAAUAUCUCUGGAAGGAUGGAUAAGACUCGAGGGGCAGUGGUUGCCUCUGAGGGAGUUCUGGGUGGCUGGAGGAUUGGGAUCCUCCAGAGAGGAGAGGGCAACUUUUCACUGUGUACCUUUUAAAAUCUGUUGAAUAUUAAACAGAUAAAUAGAUUGCCUAUGUCAAAAAUCAAAUUAAAAUUAACAAAAUUAAAAUAAAAGGGAAGUGAUGCCGUUGCACAGCCAGGAUUGAGAACCACUGUGAAACAUGGCCGUGAGCUGAUGGUGAAAACCACACGUCCAAUGACAAGUUUCCUGGACUAUUUAUUUAUUUAUUUGUUUACUUUGGAAAAGGUUGAAAUUCCCUUUUGGGCGC
ensembl:lncRNA